UACGUAGGGUGCAAGCGUUGUCCGGAAUUAUUGGGCGUAAAGAGCUCGUAGGCGGUUUGUCGCGUCGAAUGUGAAAACUCGGGGCUCAACUCCGAGCUUGCAUUCGAUACGGGCAGGCUAGAGUUCGGGUAGGGGAGACUGGAAUUCCUGGUGUAGCGGUGGAAUGCGCAGAUAUCAGGAGGAACACCGAUGGCGAAGGCAGGUCACUGGGCCGCAACUGACGCUGAGGAGCGAAAGCAUGGGGAGCGAACAGG
rnacentral:rRNA from 1 species